GUGCCAGCAGCCGCGGUAAUACGUAGGUGGCAAGCGUUGUCCGGAUUUAUUGGGCGUAAAGGGAGCGCAGGCGGUGACUUAAGUCUGAUGUGAAAGCCCACGGCUCAACCGUGGAAGGUCAUUGGAAACUGGGUCACUUGAGUGCAGAAGAGGAAAGUGGAAUUCCAUGUGUAGCGGUGAAAUGCGUAGAUAUAUGGAGGAACACCAGUGGCGAAGGCGACUUUCUGGUCCUGUAACUGACGCUGAGGCUCGAAAGCGUGGGGAGCAAACAGGA
rnacentral:rRNA from 1 species